GAGGAAGCAGCAAGGAAGAAGAAGCGGCGCCGCGACGAGGGCAGCGCCAACAAUAAUGUCGUCCAACUUCUCUUUUUCUUGUCUCCAGUGAGCUUUAGAGGACAUGGCCGUAAUGGCCAGAUUUGUAGCUCGCGACGAUCCUCAUGGCUUGUCCCAUCUCACGAGCCGAAUCAUGCAUGUGAGGCUAAGCUGCCGUAAAUGAUCCUUUUACCUCUGAUUGAAUCAACUAACAAUCUCACGAGCCGACCAUGUACGUUUACCGAUGAUCGAAUCGAUGGAUCCAACACAUACGGGCUUCACAUGGUUGGUUAGGUCGCACAUGAAUGCUGGAUAUAUAUGACGAUGCUGAUGCCGACGGACCGUAGUACUAGCUACUACGUGGUUCAUGUGAGUGAUGGACCGUCAUAGUAGGAGUAGCGAGAGUCUCUCUUUUCUUCUGCCUCUGGGCUCACUUAGAUUGGACACUUGCUAUCCGUUGGACCACCCUCACAAGAAAGAUGUGGUGUGAUAAUCCACAAGAAAGAUGCCAUCUCAACCGCAUGUGUCAGCAUAUAGUAUUGUACGUUUGUGCGUGGUCCUUCCUCUAGUAACGUUAUAUGUUCUUCCUUUUUUUCUACUAGACUAUUAUUACAUCUAACUGGUCGUUUAGCCGUCAGAUCAAAUCAACAUUGUAAGUUGGUAAAUUAUCUUAUCAGAUACAUACGGCACGAUAGGGAUGACGUGGAUGGGACGUGCCAUUGGAUGCCCCUUUGGAAGUAGCCACGUACGAGGAGGGAUAGCUUUGGAACAAGUUUUCAGGCUCUUGUCAAUGAUAAUUGCUGGGGCUGAUUUUCCAUAGUCACUUGUUUAUUUGGUCAGAGUGAAAUAAUUGUUUGGUUUCUUGUGCAGGACAAUAAUGCGACUGGUGUACUAUGGAUGUGCACCAAUAAUGAAGUAUGGUGGAGCGACUGGUGUACUAUGGAUGUGCACCAAUAAUGAAGUAUGGUGGAGGGACGCUACCCGUUACAUCGCACAUGGAAUUGUACCUUUACCUUGUCCAGUCCGACGUAUCAUUCUAUGUAUAAUCGCCGUGGGAUAGAAAAUUAUCUUAUCAGAUGCGUAUGAUAUGACAAACGUGGGACGGUUGGGAGACAAUUCGAUGCUGCUUGGAUGCAUCGAGGGGUCGGUUAGAGCAUGGUUAAUAGUAUAGUAAACUGCUAGUUAUAAGUCAUUGUCAUGUCAUCUAUAACUCAUCUUUAAAUAAGAUGGCUGUAUGCAUCACUCGAUACAGAGGCCGGGGCGAGGCCUCCUUUUCGAAAAAAAUCUAUAACUCAUCUUGUAGCCAACAUGUACGACAGUUGAUUAA
rnacentral:lncRNA from 1 species